AAGAAGAUGUAGUCAUCUUUGCUUAAUCAGUUGAAGCUGAAAGUCGUAUCAUAAUUAUUACACAGCAACUUAUAUCUAAAUGAUAAGUACAAUAAAUUCUUUAAUUUUAUCAUGAGCUACUAUUCAAGACAUAAAAAAUACAUGAUUGCUGUUGUACAGUAUAAAGAUUAUGAGAAUUCUUUUAGUGGACACUCUUGUGUCAGAAAGAUGCAGUCAUCUUUUGCUGACAGAUUAAGA